rnacentral:tRNA from 1 species
AAGGAAUUAGCUUAAUUGGUAAAGCAACCGUUUUACACACGGAAGACUAAGUGUUCAACCCACUUAUUCCUUA